rnacentral:rRNA from 1 species
AACGAACGCUGGCGGCAGGCUUAACACAUGCAAGUCGAACGCCCCGCAAGGGGAGUGGCAGACGGGUGAGUAACGCGUGGGAACAUACCCUUUUCUACGGAAUAGCUCUGGGAAACUGGAAUUAAUACCGUAUACGCCCUACGGGGGAAAGAUUUAUCGGGGAAGGAUUGGCCCGCGUUGGAUUAGCUAGUUGGUGGGGUAAAGGCCUACCAAGGCGACGAUCCAUAGCUGGUCUGAGAGGAUGAUCAGCCACAUUGGGACUGAGACACGGCCCAAACUCCAACGAGAGGCAGCAGUGGUGAAUAUAGGACAAUGGGCGCAAGCCUGAUCCAGCCAUGCCGCGUGAGUGAUGAAGGCCUUAGGGUUGUAAAGCUCUUUCACCGAUGAAGAUAAUGACGGUAGUCGGAGAAGAAGCCCCGGCUAACUUCGUG